UAUAAGUGCAACCAUAAGUUUCCGCGUCUAACUUUGAUCGUUCGUCUUAUUUGAAAGUUUUUUAUAAUUAAUAUUUUUAUUGUUAUGAGAUGAUAAAAUAUAAAUAGUACUUUACUCGUGACUUAUGUUUUUAAAUUUUUUUUAAAAUUUUUUAAAUAAGACGGACGGUCAAAGUUGGGCGCGGAAAACCAUGGCUGCACUUAUA
rnacentral:pre_miRNA from 1 species